AGAGAAAAGAGAGAGAAGCUUAAGGCCUUGUCAGUGCAGCAAGAGUAGCAGUCUUAGAAAGAGUGCAUUUUCUCAAAGAAUUAGACAGAAGAUUGAAUGCCUAAAAAGCAAAUAAUCUAUGGGUCUUGUGUCUCACAGUUUCUGAUCUCACUUAUUAGUAAUGUAAAAAGUGAGACUGCAUUUUACCCACAUACAGAACUCAUCUGUUUUUUUUUUUGCAGGCUCUCAGACUUAGAAGGAUUUUCCAGCACUUGAUCUCGAGUGGAUUGAGAUACCUAAGGCUUUUUGCAAUUAACCCCAAUUCAUAGCAUUUCCUUCUGGGAAUCUCUAGUCAUCUCCUCACUGGAGGACUGAUGAUUUAGAGCAUAAUUCAGAGGCAUCUUACUAGGCAUGAGACAGAGGCUGAACAAACCCAACUCAGUGAUAAGGAUGUGAUGCAAGACUAUGUCAAAUGCCUUGCAGAAGUCCUGGUAGAUGAUAUCAGUUCCCCUUCCUUUGUCCACUGAUGCCAUCAUCCAUGCUAUGAUCCGAGUACUUUAGGCAUCUUCAUGAAGAGGAGUAUUCCAAUCUGUUGACCUGUAACCCUAAUAAAUGAAUCGUGAACAUUGUAUGUGUGCAUGGAAAGAGGUAA